rnacentral:rRNA from 1 species
AUGAACGCUGGCGGCGUGCCUAAUACAUGCAAGUCGAGCGAACGGACGAGAAGCUUGCUUCUCUGAUGUUAGCGGCGGACGGGUGAGUAACACGUGGAUAACCUACCUAUAAGACUGGGAUAACUUCGGGAAACCGGAGCUAAUACCGGAUGAUAUUUUGAACCGCCUGGUUCAAAAGUGAAAGACGGUCUUGCUGUCACUUAUAGAUGGAUCCGCGCUGCAUUAGCUAGUUGGUAAGGUAACGGCUUACCAAGGCAACGAUGCAUAGCCGACCUGAGAGGGUGAUCGGCCACACUGGAACUGAGACACGGUCCAGACUCCUACGGGAGGCAGCAGUAGGGAAUCUUCCGCAAAGGGCGAAAGCCUGACGGAGCAACGCCGCGUGAGUGAUGAAGGUCUUCGGAUCGUAAAACUCUGUUAUUAGGGAAGAACAUAUGUGUAAGUAACUGUGCACAUCUUGACGGUACCUAAUCAGAAAGCCACGGCUAACUACGUG